CAAGGUUGGAUUUGCUUUUCUUCAUUACUCAAGGCAAUUUUGCCUAAGCUACACAACAGGCAAGGCGAUUUCCCCUUGGCUGGACUAGCUGUCUGCACACAAUUACACUUCUCUAUUAUUAGUGAGAGUGAGCUGGGCUGAGUUUACAACUGUGCAGGAGAGAUAAGCUCAAGACGACUGUGCUUCCUCUCCAAGGGGCUGCUGAGCUGCAUUCAGCUCUGCGUCUGAGACACCGCCGUCCUGAAAUGGGGAGGAAUUCUUGUCCUCUGAAUGGGGAUGCCCAAAAGGAGCAGGCUGGGUGUGUUUCUUUUAAUGGAAGAUUAGACAGAGAAUCACAUGAUUUUACCCUCUUUACCCAAGACACUGGAGUCACAGGAGCUUUCUGAUACCCAUUUUUAUGUCAGAACAAUCACAUCCUGAACACCUUUUACUAAAUGAACUAAAGAAUCUAUACAACUAGUCCAAGCACAGAUGCAGAUGCAUAGAUUUAUGGGAGAUUAAUGCCAUGAGUCUCAGUUUUUAUGGCUCUCACAUUUAGCAACACGCGAGGAGAAGAACUGCAUGUCAGAAGUGCUAAUUGUUACCUUCCCAUGCUGAUGAUAGUGCACUUUCUUAACCGAAAGAGAUGAAAUGAAGGAAUGCUGGGGGAAGGGAGAUGUAACAAGUGUGAGGAAUCAAAGCAUCUGCACUUAGAAGAAAACAGAGCUAGUCCUUGGGCAUUUUCCAAGGGCACGCUGUAAUUAACAGGUACUCCCAAGAUGCCCGUCUUCAAAAGGUGCCAAAAUUCCUCGAUAAGUUAUCUCAGGAGCCAAAACAACAGGUGACAGAAGGACUGUUGCUUUCAAGGACGCCACUUCAGGUCACACCAUUCAGAUGAGCUGGGUACCGUGGAACGCUCGAUAGUUAUUAUUGGAUUAAGGCAGAGCCUUAUGUUAAUAAAGCUGCAGUAUGCCCCAAAAGAGGAUGUCUGCUUGAGCGUUGCUUAUCCUGAAGAACAGAAGCACAGGGUGAGAUUAGACAAAAUUAAGAUCAUGAGAGGAGGCAAUACUAUCAACAGUAUUAAAAGAAAUAGUAAUUUCAUAAUUUCAUAAGUAAUUUCAUUUUCUUCCAUUCCUGCAAGUCACGUCAGAAGCUUUAAACCAACGAUGCCUCUCUUUAUCAAGCUCUCUUAUGAAGCAAGGACAGGAAACUACCAGAAUCCUCAAAAGCAAAUGACACAGAAAAGGAGUUUUCUCCAUAGUGCCAUUUACAACAAGAAGACGGUUUGAACUCCCGAAUUCACUGAAUGCCUCCAGAAAACCACCAGUAACUGGGUAACACACUAGGAUGCAACGAGAACACCCCAGCAUCUGGAAUGGAAAGCUUCAAUACCUGCAAGCGUCGUGAUACCCAGACAGCACAUCUGAGAGAGCAACCACUGUUGUGAGUACUCAUUUUUUGGUCCUUCCCAUCUUUUGUACAACAGCUACUAACAAAAGGGAGAAAAAGCUCAUGCCUUUUUUAACAUAAGCAGGAAGUGAGAAGCUGAGAAAAAAAAGACAUUAAAAUUGGAUGAUAUUUUUUUUAUUCCUGUGAAAUGUCUGAAAUGGCCGUAGGGAACCGAGACAGUGGAAAUGGGCAAAUGAGACAGGCGUUAACCCACCAAAACCUCAGUUUUGUUUACUUCUGUGGGCACUAUUUAGUGCCAACAUCUAAUGUGCAUUUUGGAUAAAAGUUUUUCUUUAAAUAUUUGCCAUAGUAACUUCUUCAUUGUGGAGAUAGCAUUUAUGACCACAGAAGUCCUCAGCUGCCCUCCUCUGAACUUGGGAAAUAACACCCAG
rnacentral:lncRNA from 1 species